rnacentral:rRNA from 1 species
UCCGGGGUAGGGGUAAAUCUGUAUCCUAGAAAGACCACCGUGGCGAAGCGUCUCGCUAGACGAUCGACGGUGAGGACGAGCUGGGUCGCAAACGGGAUAGAAUACCCCGUAGUCCAGGGUGUAAACGCUGCAGACUUGGUGUGGGGCCUACGGGGGCGUCAGUGCGAGAGAAGUUGUUAAGACUGCUACUUGGGGAGUACGUCCGCAAGGAUGAACUAAAGGAAUGCGGGGAGCCCGCACGGGAGAGCGUGCGGUUUAAUUGGAUUCAACACGGGAAAACUCACCAGCGGCGACUGUUACAUGAAAGUCAGGCCGAUGACCUUACUAGAUUUUCAGAGAGGUGGUGCAUGGCCGUCGUCAGAUAAGUACCAGUAAGGCGUUCUCUUAAGUGAGAUAACGAACGAGACCCUCACCAAUAGUUGCUAUCCCAUCCUCCGGGGUGGGAGCACACUAUUGGGACCGCUGGCGCUAAGUCAGAGGAAGGAGAGGUCAACGGUAGGUCAGUAUGCCCCGAAUCUGCUGGGCUACACGCGCGCUACAAAGGGCGGGACAAUGGGCUCCGACACCGAGGAGGUGAAGGUAAUCCCGAAACCCGUCCGUAGUUCGGAUGAGGGUGUAACUCACCCUCAUGAAGCUGGAUUCCGUAGUAAUCCGAAUCAACAACUCGCGGUGAAUAUGCCCCUGCUCCUGCUCACACCGUA